GGGUGAGCGAGGAAGAUUUGGGUUUAGAGGUAGGAGUGAAUGUAGGGGGCUUAGUUCUUGUAUGUUAGGUGAAGCGGUGAAAUGUGAUAACUUUAUGUUGGGGAGAUAGGUCUCUUGGUGAUUUGAUUUACUUUAAGAUCGGGAUGUUGACCAGGAUUAGAUACCCUGUUAUACCUUUGGUAAUUAUUAGUGCCUGGAGUAGUAAAUAGAUAUAGGCUCGAAACUUAAAGAAUUUGGCGGUAUUUAAGUCUAGUUAGAGGAACCUGUGCUGUAAACGAUAAACCACGAAUAUCUUACUUUGUCUGGGUGAGGCAGUACGUAUACCGCCAUUGCUGUCGAUAAUUUUUGAAGGGGUUUGUUGAGAUAGAUUUCGGAUCUAGUAUAUUAGGUCAAGGUGCGGCUAAUGAUAAAGUAGACAUGGGUUACAUUAAUAUUAGUGAGUGCGGAUGGACCUGGUAAGUUGGGUCUUGUAAGGUGGAUUUAAUAGUAAAGGGGGUAGAUUAGGCCUUUUUGAUAGUAGCUCUUAGAUAUGCACACAUCGCCCGUCGUUCUCGCUUU
rnacentral:rRNA from 1 species